GAUGAACGCUGGCGGCGUGCCUAACACAUGCAAGUCGAGCGAUUCUCUUCGGAGAAGAGCGGCGGACGGGUGAGUAACGCGUGGGUAACCUGCCCUGUACACACGGAUAACAUACCGAAAGGUAUGCUAAUACGGGAUAAUGUGCUUUUAUCGCAUGGUAAAAGUAUCAAAGCUCCGGCGGUACAGGAUGGACCCGCGUCUGAUUAGCUAGUUGGUAAGGUAACGGCUUACCAAGGCGACGAUCAGUAGCCGACCUGAGAGGGUGAUCGGCCACAUUGGAACUGAGACACGGUCCAAACUCCUACGGGAGGCAGCAGUGGGGAAUAUUGCACAAUGGGCGAAAGCCUGAUGCAGCAACGCCGCGUGAGCGAUGAAGGCCUUCGGGUCGUAAAGCUCUGUCCUCAAGGAAGAUAAUGACGGUACUUGAGGAGGAAGCCCCGGCUAACUACGUGCCAGCAGCCGCAGUAAUAC
rnacentral:rRNA from 1 species